UACGUAGGGUGCGAGCGUUAAUCGGAAUUACUGGGCGUAAAGCGUGCGCAGGCGGUUUUGUAAGACAGGCGUGAAAUCCCCGGGCUCAACCUGGGAAUGGCGCUUGUGACUGCAAGCUGGAGUGCGGCAGAGGGGGAUGGAAUUCCGCGUGUAGCAGUGAAAUGCGUAGAUAUGCGGAGGAACACCGAUGGCGAAGGCAAUCCCCUGGGCCCGCACUGACGCUCAUGCACGAAAGCGUGGGGAGCAAACAGG
rnacentral:rRNA from 1 species